GCUCCAGCAGGUCACGGUGACCCGUGUUCCGCGGGGGGAACCUGCGCCCAGCCGGUCCCGACAGAAAGCGGGGGAGCGGCUGCCCGCCGAUGCUUCACAGAUGAGCUAAAGUGGAGCCAUGUGGAAAUCCUUGUAAUUUUUGUAAUGAAAGCUCUGUUUUAAGACCUGGAAUCCAUCAGAACAUUGUAGUAUGUUCAGGACAAAGUUAACUGUAAAGAACAGGAAAUGGAAAGAAAACCAACAGACUUCCAGAUCAAUAGGCAGAGCAUUAGGAGGCUGACUGAACUGUCACGCCGGUUCCCCCGGCUGCAGGCGUUCACCAUUGCCAGGCUGCUGGAGAAGACAAGCGUGUUUUAAUAGAAGGGAUGCGUGUGUCUUUUAUAGGUACGUAGAACCUCCCCUGCCCGCGCAGCCUCCCUUAGCUGGAUGACAAGCCCGUGUUACACGGCUUGCGUGGAGAUUUUUUUUUUUUUUUCCCCCUUCCGUUUUGCGCGGGGAAGCCCACUCGUCCGUUCGGGCGGGCGGCCCGGCUCGGUCUUGCUUUGCGUUCCUUUCGCGACGGGGACGGUCGGCGUCGU